rnacentral:rRNA from 1 species
GACGAACGCUGGCGGCGUGCCUAAUACAUGCAAGUUGAGCGCUGAAGGUUGGUACUUGUACCGACUGGAUGAGCAGCGAACGGGUGAGUAACGCGUGGGGAAUCUGCCUUUGAGCGGGGGACAACAUUUGGAAACGAAUGCUAAUACCGCAUAAAAACUUUAAACACAAGUUUUAAGUUUGAAAGAUGCAAUUGCAUCACUCAAAGAUGAUCCCGCGUUGUAUUAGCUAGUUGGUGAGGUAAAGGCUCACCAAGGCGAUGAUACAUAGCCGACCUGAGAGGGGGAUCGGCCACAUUGGGACUGAGACACGGCCCAAACUCCUACGGGAGGGAGCAGUAGGGAAUCUUCGGCAAUGGACGAAAGUCUGACCGAGCAACGCCGCGUGAGGGAAGAAGGGUGUCGGAUCGUAAAACUCUGUUGGUAGAGAAGAACGUUGGUGAGAGUGGAAAGCUCAUCAAGUGACGGUAACUACCCAGAAAGGGACGGCUAACUACGUG